GGGUGUCCAUUCCACCAUGCCGGUGGGCGGACAGGUUAAUCCGUUGCAUGCGAGGUCGGGCCGCCACGCA
rnacentral:ncRNA from 1 species